UACGUAGGGGGCUAGCGUUGUCCGGAAUCAUUGGGCGUAAAGGGCGUGUAGGCGGCCCGGUAAGUCCGCUGUGAAAGUCGGGGGCUCAACCCUCGAAUGCCGGUGGAUACUGUCUGGCUCGAGUGCGGAAGAGGCGAGUGGAAUUCCUGGUGUAGCGGUGAAAUGCGCAGAUAUCAGGAGGAACACCAAUUGCGAAGGCAGCUCGCUGGGACGUUACUGACGCUGAGACGCGAAAGCGUGGGGAGCAAACAGG
rnacentral:rRNA from 1 species